rnacentral:rRNA from 1 species
GUCCACGCCGUAAACGUUGGGCACUAGGUGUGGGACUCUAUCGACGGGUUCCGUGCCGUAGCUAACGCAUUAAGUGCCCCGCCUGGGGAGUACGGCCGCAAGGCUAAAACUCAAAGGAAUUGACGGGGGCCCGCACAAGCGGCGGAGCAUGUGGCUUAAUUCGAUGCAACGCGAAGAACCUUACCUGGGUUGAACUAUGCAGGAAAAGCCACAGAGAUGUGGUGUCCUUCGGGGUCUGCGAUAGGUGGUGCAUGGCUGUCGU